GACGUAGGGCGCGAGCGUUGUCCGGAUUUAUUGGGCGUAAAGAGCUCGUAGGCGGCUUGUCGCGUCAACUGUGAAAACCCGUGGCUCAACCAUGUGGUCUGCAGUCGAUACGGGCAGGCUAGAAUUCGGUAGGGGAGACUGGAAUUCCUGGCGUAGCGGUGAAAUGCGCAGAUAUCAGGAGGAACACCGGUGGCGAAGGCGGGUCUCUGGGCCGAUAUUGACGCUGAGGAGCGAAAGCGUGGGGAGCGAACAGG
rnacentral:rRNA from 1 species